rnacentral:rRNA from 1 species
UCUUGAAAUAUAAAAAAAUUUGGCGGUAUCUUAGACUAUUUAGAGGAACCUGUCCUGUGAUUGAUAUUCCACGAUUUGAAAAACUUAUUUUAAUAGUUUGUAUAUCGCCGUAGGUUAAAUGUUUUAAAAGAAUUUUUAAAUGUUUAUGAUUUAAUAAGGAUAAAAGAAAACAGGUCAAGGUGUAGCUUAUAGAUAAGUAGAGAUGGGUUACAGUAAAUGUAUUUAUAUGGAUGGGUAUAUUUAAUUAUAUUUUGAAAGUGGAUUUAAGUGUAAUUUUAUUUAAAUAAAUAAUAUGAUUUUAGCUCUGGGAUAUGUACAUAUCGCCCGUCGCUUUCACUCUAAAGUGGAAUAAGUCGUAACAUAGUAGGCGUACUGGAAAGUGUGCCUAGAAAGUUCAAACUAAAGCUUUAAUAAGUAUUUUAUUUACACUAAAAAGUUUAUUGUUAAAACAAUAUAGUUUGAUUUUGAGUUUAUUAUUGAAUUAAUAAUUUAACUUUUUUUUUUUGAUAAAUAUAUUAUGUUUAAUUUUUAAUUAGGAAAAAAUUAAUGUAAUUUAUAGUGUAUUAGUAUUGUGAGAGAAUUAUUUAAAAAUGUAGUAAGAAAUAUUAAGUUUAUGUACCUUGUGUUUCAGGGUUUAUUAAAAAUAGAUUAAUUAUGUUAAGUUUCCCGAAUUUAAAAGAGCUAUUGAAAUAUAAGUAUUACUGUGGAACAAUUAUUCUUAAUAUUUUAAUUGAAGUGAAAUGCUAUUCGAUUUUAAAGAUAUCUGGUUUUUUAAGAAAUGAAUUUAAUUCAGUUUUUUGUUUAUUUUAAAUACAAUUUUUUGUAUCUAAAAUACAAUGAUUAAAUAUUAAAGGGGAUAAGCUUUUUGAUAGAUUUAUUAAAAAAAAAUUAGUCUGGAAGGUUAAUUAAUAAGUAGGAUUAUAGGUUUAUUUCUUUUUUAGUGUGUUGUAACUAUUUAAAUUAAAAUUAAGAUUUUUAUUGAAUUUUAAAUUUUUUAUUAAAAUAUUUUUUUAAAUAUAAUAAAAGAACUUAAAAUGAUAAAAUUAGUAUGAUACUGAUAAGAGAAUAGUAAAGUUGAAAUGUAAGUAAAUGAAAGGUUGAAUAAAGGAAUUCGGCAAAUUGAUUUCUUACCUGUUUAUUAAAAACAUGGCUUUUUGAGGUUAAUUUAAGGUCUGACCUGCCCAAUGAUUUACGGAUUAAAUGGCCGCGGUAAUUUGACCGUGCAAAGGUAGCAUAAUCAUUAGUUUUUUAAUUGGAAGCUGGAAUGAACGGUCGGAUAAAGAAAAAACUGUCUCUGUUUAAUUUUUUUUGAAAUUUAUUUUUAAGUAAGAAAGCUUAAAUUAUAUUAGAAGACGAGAAGACCCUAUAGAGUUUUACAGUAUUUGAUGAUAAGUUCUUAAGUAUUAAG